UACGGGGGGGGCAAGCGUUGUUCGGAAUUACUGGGCGUAAAGGGUUCGUAGGUGGCCAACUAAGUCAGACGUGAAAUCCCUCAGCUCAACUGGGGAACUGCGUCUGAUACUGGUUGGCUUGAGUGCAGGAGAGGAACGCGGAAUUCCAGGUGUAGCGGUGAAAUGCGUAGAUAUCUGGAGGAACACCGGUGGCGAAGGCGGCUCUCUGGGACGGUACUGACGCUGAGACGCGAAAGCGUGGGGAGCGAACAGG
rnacentral:rRNA from 1 species